UCUAUUCUUAUUCUUAUUCUAUUACUUUGAUAUUCUAGUUUGUUUAGCCAUUGGAGUCCGAAAGUUCUGAAUUCAGUAUGGCUUCUGGUACUUACUGACUGUGUGACCUUGGACAAGCCACUUUAACUUCUGUUUGCCUUAAUCCCCUGGGGAAGGAAAUGGUAAAUGAUUGUGGUAUCUUUGCUAAGAAAACCCAUAUGGGAUCACAAAGACAUAACUAAACAGCAAACUGAUAAAUACCUACUUCAUUUUUUUUACUACUACAAAAGAUAGUUGCUAUAAAUAUAGAUAUCAAAUCAACUAGAAAUUAAGUACUUACUCUGUGGCAUAGAUUGUGCUAAAGAUAGGCCUACAAAGAAUGUAAAAAAAAAAAAGAACCACCUUCCUUGCCUUCAAGGAGCUAACAAUCUUAAUAGGAAAGAUAAUGUACAAAUAACUUUAUACAGAAGAGAUAGACACAGGAUAACUUUCAGAUAAACUCAAGAGUGGAGGCACUAGCAAUAAGAGGGAUUAAAGGUCUUCUGUAGAGGUAGGAUUUUUAGCUUAGACUUGAAGAAAGCUAGGAGGCAGAAAUGAAUAGGGAGAGUGCCAGACACGGAGGGCAGCCAAUGAAAAUACCCAGUAUGGGUAUUGUAGCUUGGUGGGAAAUGAAGAGAGAAUUGCUCUGUAUCCCUCCUUUAAAUGAAAGUUCUGGGAGGAGCCCUUCACUUUUCACACAGAGGGAGGGAUCCCAGCAGUAGAGGGUUACUUUGGAAGUGUCAUUUCUAGGAUCAGAGUGACUGAAAGCAGCAAAACCUAUAAGAAGUCUAUUUGUGUGUGUGUGAUAAGGACCUGAACUAGGAUAGUGACUGUGUGAAGAGAAUUGUUGAGAGUAGAAUCAAUUGGACUUAGAUUAGACUGAUGACUAAAUGAGAGGAAAGUCUAGGAUGAUUUUGAGGUGAACCUAGGUAAUUACAAGGAUGGUGGUGUUAGGUGUAAAAAUCAGGGUUGUUGAAUGAUUAUAUUAUAUUUGUGGUCACCAGGGAUUAAAAUUCAAUCCCAAUGAAAUAUUCAAGUCAGUUUAGGAUUUUUAUGGUGGUUUAAUUACAUUAGAAGGAAGAAAUUAAGAAGGAGAAGAGGAAAGGGGAAGUGGACUGCUCCGGUCUGGUCUGAGCCAGGCAGGAGUUCAGGGGCCUCAGCCAAGGGGGCCUUUUCCAGAAAGCCAAGGGAAAGGUAUGAGAUUUUCUCCAGCCUAGCCUAAGCCAAGGGAGGUUGAGGCCUUGGCCAAGGUGCCUUCUCAGAAGAUUAAAUCUAGCUCCGUUUCCAGCCAUGAGGCCUCCUCCAAGAUGAGGGGCCUCCUAGGAGGAUAGUGCUUUUUAGGUGGUCAAGGAAAGGAGGAAUCUGCCUUACCACUCACCAAGGUUGCUCAGGGAAGAAGCCUCACCUAAACCACACUACAGAGCCAAAACACCGCAAGCAUGCCAAAAUGCCACCCAGAGCUCCCAACGCCUCCCAGGGAGUGCUCACAGGAAGUGAUGCAAAUUAUAUAGGCAAUUCUUUACAUCACUUCCUGUGUCUCACAUAUACCAAUGGUAGCUUAAGCUUGGCUUAGGACAGCCCAGGGAGACAGUCAGUUGUUUCUGACUUGUCACUUGCUAUCACAUGCUGGUCAUAGGCCAUCCUCCUCUAUAAUUAAUCCUUAACUGGAGGUGUGUAUACAUUCCUUGGUUGCUAAAAUUCUAAAGACUAAGCAGGGUGGAGUAAAUCUAAAAUUCACAGUGGGGUGUACCACAGAAAUAGGGAACCUGAGAGAAGUUAACCUAAGGUAGGUAAAGACAGUGAAUUCCAUUUUGGCUAUGCUAAUGUCAAUGGGGUAUCCUGAUGGAGGUGUAUUUGGUGAUGUGGUAAGAGAUUUAUUAGACUGCAUGUAUUGAUUUGAAAAUAUGCUUAGAUAUGAUAGACCAAGGAAAAUAGCAUAAGGUCACAAGAGAAGAGAGCUCAUGAUAGAGCCCACACUUUGUGCAUGUGCAUGUGCAUGUGUAUGUGAGAGGAGAGAAGAAAAGAGGAAGGAAGUGGGAAGGAGAGAGAGAUGGAUGAUAAUUAUACUAUAAAGAAAACUUAGAGAUUAGGAAAGCCACCAUCAUGUUUCUUUUGUUCUCCGCUUUAAACAUUACCACAUGUGCUUCUUCAACAGGUUCUUGUAUCAUAGUCUCCAGUUUUGUAAUCAUCUUAGUUGUGCAAAAUAAGGGAAGAGAGAUUUUGCAUUUAGAAGAGAGACCAGUCUCUAGGAGGGACCAGCUGAAGAGAAUGGAGGAGGGGUGAAGAAAAACUCAGAGUUCAAAGGAGGAAUCAGAACCUUGGAGGCAACUGGUAGGAUUACUUCCAGGCUAGGAUGUGGAGAAAGGUGGAUUUCCUGAAAGUGAGAAGCCCAUUCAUUUGAGAUUUAUUUUACCUUCUGAAACCCUGAAAUAACUCCACUAAGACUCAAAUCUUCAAGAGGGAUUGUGGAUUUGGACAUUUGACCAGAGCCAUCUGGAUCCUUUCUUGGAAUAUUUCUCUCUCUCUCUCCUUUACUUGUCCCUGGACUUAUACCUUUACUUGUCCCUGGACUUAUACCUUCAAGGUUUAGUUAGUUUGAGAGUAGGGGCAAGAAAGGAAUUGGCAAAAAGGAGAGGUCAGGACUGAGAAGCCUUUGGCCUCCAGACUUUGAAAGGACAAUCUGCAAAAGGGGAAAAUCUUUAGGGCUUCCCUUUUUUUUACCCCCUUUUUUUUUACUUCCCUUUUUUUACCCCCUUCCCAAAAUUUUCCUCCCUUAUACCCCUGUCAUUCUCUUCCUGCUUCAACCUUAAUAAAUCAUUUUGAAAUUUAGAACUUUGGGUUUGGACCUGUCCCUAAAUAAUAUAACAAAGGGGAUUAGAAUUUGAAAUCACUGAGACAGAAUUUCAAGCUGAAACUCAAAAGGACAGGAUCUCUCCCUAUAAGUAAAGGAGGAAAGAAACAAUCCAUUGUCUCUCUAUUACCCCUUUCCCUCCUCCCGGUUUCCUCCUUCUUUACAGUUAGUUGCCUUCCUCUGGACCCAUUCCAGCUUGUCAAUGAUACUAUUUUUUUAUAAUUCAAGGUGAAUAGGAAUUAACCUUUAAAAAAAAGGUGAUCCUUUAGAUGAUUUAGUGGCAAUCUUGAACAUCUAGUUUAGGGUGAGGGCAUUGCUCUCCAUUUGCAGGGUAUGCACACUUACCCUCUCUCUUUCUGCUACAAUUUCUUCAGUUAUAAAAUGGGGAUAACAAUAGCAUGUGCCUCCCAGGGUUUGGUGUUUUUUUGGAAGAUUAAAUGAGAUAAUAGUAAGUUAGUACACAUAGUAGGCACUUAAUAAAUACCUGAUCCUCUCUCUUCUUUUUAAUUUUAUGUAUUUUAAGGCAGCUGGGUGACUUAGUGAAUAGAGUACUAGGCCUGGAGUCAGGAAUACUCAACCUUUUUGAAUUCAAAUCUGUCUUUAGGCACUUAAUAGCUGUGUGACCCCAGGCAAAUUACUUAACCCUGCUUCCCUCAGUUUUCUCCUCUGUAAAAUGAGCUGUAGAAGGAAAUGGCAAACUACUCUAGUAUUUUUUACCAAGAAAACCCCAAAUGGGGUCAAUGAGGAGCCAGACACAACUGAAAUAAACAAAUAAUAACAAUUUUAUUUUGUGCACUUAAUAAAAUUCCUCUGGCAACGGAUUCAUAAGUUUUGCCAAACAUUUCCAUGAUACAAAAAAUUUUUUUCUAGGUUUGAGGCCUUUAGAAGGUCAUAUAACUAGUUUUUUUUUUUUUUUUUUGCAAGGCUAGGCCAAUAAUCUCCUUAUACUUACCCCUGGAUAUUUAGCUUUUCAUUAGGGCCCAGAAGUUACCUCCUGCCAUGCACUUUUGCAUUGAAAACUUCAGUGUUGCUUAGUGGUUAGAGCAAUAGACUUAAAAUCAGAAAGACAGGUUUUCUAGUCAGCUUACUAUGAACAAAUUUGUUAGUUUCUCUGAACCUCAGUUUCCCUGUUCUUGUCUGGUCCUGACUCAGUCCCUCAAUAGUUUAUAUUUGAUAGUGGAAUGAAAUGAGACUGAAGUUCAUAUGGCAAUUAACAUAAGGAGGUUUACUGAACCAUAGCAGGAGAAAGAUAGUCAGUAAGGAAUAUGCACAUAGGAUACCCUGGGCUGAUUUAGCUAAAUGAAGCUCCUUUGCCUGAGUCACCCAUUAAGGUUUUCCAGUCAAGCCUUAGAGCAGUGAUGGCGAAUCUUUUGGAGACUGAGUGCUGUAUCCCUCUCUCCCACUGAAUGCUGGUGUACCCUGCCUCUCCCCCUCACACACACAGGGAAGGGAGGAAGUGCUCCAUUUGGGUUGAUGGACAGAGAGGUGGGUGAAGUGAGGAAUGUCCUCAGUGAGUGUAGAGAGGGGGAGGGGAGUGGCAUGAGCACUCUGCUCCCCUUCAGCUCUGCCAGCUCUUCUGCCUGUGAGCUACCCACCUUAUCCUCUAUACACUCCCAUUGACUGCUGGGCAGAGGGAUGGGGGAUGGGGAAAAUGUCAACACACAUGGUGGAGAGGGGGAGGGGAGUAGCUCCACCCAAGACCCUCUGCCUUUCUAGUAACAAACUUGGGGUUGUGAGGUGUGAGAGUGGAGGCAGGGAGGGGACAGCCACAUACCCACAGAGAGUGCGUGGCAUGCCAUCUUUGGCAUCUGUGCCAUAGGUUUACCAUCACUACCUUAGAGCAUGUGUGUAGCUUCUUAUGGCUGUUUAGUGCUCAGGAGACCGUAAAGUGAUGUCAGUAGCCUGAACCUUCAGACCUCUGAGUUAGUCAAGUGUUGAGGAUGUUUUCAAUACUUUAAAAGGAAGAAACAGACUAAUUUUUAUGGGCAUUGGAAGGGUGGAUUAUUAUUCCUACAUUUUCCCCAUCUAUAAAUGCAGAUAAUAAUAAAAUGCAGCACCUGGCAAUAAUCAAUGAAAUAAGGAAUAAAAAAACAAAUUUGUAAAAUUUUUAGUACUUUAGAAAUGUGAACUGCUGUUAUUUCUAUUAUUGGGAUGUUAAAAAAUAGUUGAAUUCUUUUUUUUUUUUAAUGAAGGGAUAGUCCUGGGAAGAGGAUCUGUUUUUUUAAGAAGUCUGUCAUCUCUGCAAAGGAGAGUAAGUGACUUUUUCCCUAUAGGUGGGAUUCAGUUACCAGCUGUUUUGACUAACUUGCUUCUUCCUUUAGUUAAACCUGAUUAGCCAGUUACCUCCCAUUCUUUCCUGUGGCCUGGCCUGAUUCGGAGCUCAGGCAGAAAGAAGCCAAGACUCUCUGUUGGUAUGCCAGGACACUGAUGCCCCUAAAACAUUCCUGCUUGACUUGUGCUUGCUUCACUGCAGUUCAUCAUAUCAGUAGCCACGUGGCUUUUGUGAUAAGACACUCCAUCUCCCCAAAAUAGCAUUUUCAUCAUCUGUUCGCCAUGCCUGGAUUUCACUCCCUCCUCAUCUCCACCUCGUGGCUUCCUUCAAGUGCCAGCUAAAACUCCACCUUUUAUUUUGUUUUAUUUUUAAUUUUUAUUUGGUCAUUUCCAAACAUUAUUCAUUGGAAACAAAGAUCAUUUUCUUUUCUUCCCUCCCCUCCCUCCCACCACCCCUCCCAUAGCCCACUCACAAUUCCACUGGGUAUCACAUGUGUUCUUGAUUCAAACCCAUUUCCAUGUUGUUGGUAUCUGCAUUAGAGUGUUCAUUUAGAGUCUCUCCUCAAUCAUAUAUCCCCUCCACCCCUGUAGUCAAGCAGUUGCUUUUCAUCAGUGUUUUUACUCCCACAGUUUAUCUUCUGCUUGUGGAUAGUGUUUUUUAGAUCCCUGCAGAUUGUUCAGGGACAUUGCAUUGCCACUAAUGGAGAAGUCCAUUACCUUCGAUUGUACCACAAUGUAUCUGUCUCUGUGUACAAUGUUUUCCUGGUUCUGCUCCUUUCGCUCUGGAUCACUUCCUGGAGGUUGUUCCAGUCUCCAUGGAAUUCCUCUACUUUAUUAUUCCUUUUAGCACAAUAGUAUUCCAUCACCAACAUAUACCACAAUUUGUUCAGCCAUUCCCCAAUUGAAGGGCAUCCCCUCAUUUUCCAAUUUUUGGCCACCACCAAGAGCGCAGCUAUGAAUAUUCUUGUACAAGUCUUUUUCCUUAUUAUCUCUUUGGGGUACAAACCCAGCAGUGCUCUGGCUGGAUCAAAGGGCAGACAGUCUUUUAGCGCCCUUUGGGCAUAGUUCCAAAUUGCCCUCCAGAAUGGUUGGAUCAAUUCACAACUCCACCAGCAAUGAAUUAGUGUCCCUACUUUGCCACAUUCCCUUCGGCAUUCAUUACUUUCCAUAGCUGUCAUGUUAGCCAAUCUGCUAGGUGUGAGGUGAUACCUCAGAGUUGUUUUGAUUUGCAUAUCUCUGAUUAUAAGAAAUGUAGAGCACUUCUUCAUGUGCUUGUUAAUAGUUUUGAUUUCUUUGGCUGAGAACUGCCAGUUCAUGUCCCUUGCCCAUUUAUCAAUUGGAGAAUGACUUGAUUUUUUGUACAAUUGAUUUAGCUCUUUGUAUAAAACUCCACCUUUUAUGAGAAAUCUCUUUAAUGUUAGUACCAUGCUCCCAUGAAUUCUUUCCAAUUCAUCCUGUAUGGGUAUCUUGUUUGUUUGUAUGUAUGUAUGUAGUUUUUAUGUUGGCUCCCCUAUUUAGAUUGCGUGCAUUCUAAGGGCAGGGGCUGCUUUUUGCCUUUCUUUUUAGCUCUGGCACUUAACACAGGUGAACACGACGACCAGCACCUCUGAUGUGAGGCUUUUCAGGGCUGCUUUCAUCCUUUGGUGCUCACCUGCCAGCCAGCUCUCACCUGUGUCUCCAAGAAGCUGGAGCAUGCCUGUGGCCACACCCCAGAAAAACUACCUCAGCAGAUGGGCUAAAUCAGGUGGAGAGUAACUGAUGGGCCUCAAACUCAUCAUUGAAUUCUUCUGGGGCAGAUUCCAGGAAGAGUAAGGAACAAACCACUGGUGGUCUCCUGUGUGGCUUUCUACGUGACUCUUUGUUAGGGUCAGGAAGGGGACAGCUGUUGGGCUGAGGGUUUGUCCUCAAAUGCUGCUGCCUGCCAUCCAUGAAUUCCCUUUGGUUGGGAAAUACCUUUGACAGUUGUAAAUUGUGGUAAAUUACUCUGAGACCCUCCAACUUGAAAUAAAACCCAUUUUAUGUUUAUA